GACCUUCCAGAAAAUGUUGACAUCACUCCGAAGCAGCCCACAAUCAUUGUGAAGGAGCCCCGGGGAACUCUUUGGAGAGACUUCAGUCUCAUCAGUGUAGAACUGAAUCUCCUUUGUGGGGGAAAGGAAAAAAAAGACAAAGAGGCUCUGGUUGGACAAACCAAGGAAAAGACCACUGUCAGAACCAUCUGCAGGCAUGCUCAGAACAUGAUCAAGGGUGUUAUGCUGGGCUUCCAUUACAAGAUGAGCUUUCUCACCAAUGUCUUUAUUCAGGAGAAUGGGUCUUUGGCGGAAAUCCGAAGUUUCAUGGGUGAAAAA
rnacentral:lncRNA from 1 species